rnacentral:rRNA from 1 species
CAGCCGUAAACUAUGCUCGCUAGGUGUCAGGCAUGGCGCGACCGUGUCUGGUGCCGCAGGGAAGCCGUGAAGCGAGCCACCUGGGAAGUACGGCCGCAAGGCUGAAACUUAAAGGAAUUGGCGGGGGGAGCACAACAACGGGUGGAGCCUGCGGUUUAAUUGGACUCAACGCCGGACAACUCACCGGGAACGACAGCAAUAUGUAGGCCAGGCUGAAGACCUUGCCUGAAUCGCUGAGAGGAGGUGCAUGGCGUAGACGUCU